CAGGGCCUUUGUAGUCUACAUGUACUUCAGUAAGUGACAUGCAGGCCUGGAGACGAGCUUUUAUUGGUACUUCAAAUAAUCAGAUAUCAGACGGAGGGAUGUGAGUUGGCCAGACCUACUAUGGAUGAUUUCUUAAACGAACCUCUUGGAAUGAAGACCUCCGCAGCCUUUUCUACCCAACUAAAGGAUUAACAAGGUCAUCCAGGUCAUCCAGAAGUGGCAUUACAGUACCAGAAGGGACUAUAGAAAUGCUGUACUACAGAAGAGCGCAAACCCCCACCCUCCACCUCCCCAUAAAAGAUUGGUGCAGUUGUAUUUAAUGCAGAUAAUUAGCUGUACAACCUUAAGCUUAUCAAAUGUGACAGGGCAGUUGACAGCAUGGUAUACCGGUUAACCUCGUAUUGUGCUUAGUUGUUGGGUGUGCAGCCUUCACUUGCAGUUGGAGCUCAGGUUUUGGAUGAAACUUCAUGCCGACACUUGGAACAUGGAAUAUUUUGUGAAAAUUUGUUUCCUCCUUACUCAUUUCACAAUUGUUUCUAAAUAAACUUGGACAAAGA